rnacentral:rRNA from 1 species
AGAGUUUGAUCCUGGCUCAGAUUGAACGCUGGCGGCAUGCCUAACACAUGCAAGUUGAACGGUAACAGGUCUUCGGAUGCUGACGAGUGGCGGACGGGUGAGUAAUGCGUAGGAGUCUGUCUUUUAGUGGGGGACAACCCAGGGAAACUUGGGCUAAUACCGCAUGAGCCCUGAGGGGGAAAGCGGGGGAUCUUCGGACCUCGCGCUAAGAGAGGAGCCUACGUCCGAUUAGCUAGUUGGCGGGGUAAAGGCCCACCAAGGCGACGAUCGGUAGCUGGUCUGAGAGGACGACCAGCCACACUGGGACUGAGACACGGCCCAGACUCCUACGGGAGGCGAC